UACGUAGGGUGCGAGCGUUGUCCGGAUUUAUUGGGUUUAAAGGGUGCGUAGGCGGCCUGAUAAGUCAGUGGUGAAAUCCUGCAGCUCAACUGUAGAUGUGCCAUUGAUACUGUUAGGCUUGAGUACAGGCGAGGUAGGCGGAAUUUAUGGUGUAGCGGUGAAAUGCAUAGAUACCAUAAAGAACACCGAUAGUGAAGACAGCUUACUAGUCUGUAACUGACGCUGAGGCACGAAAGCGUGGGGAUCGAACAGG
rnacentral:misc_RNA from 1 species